GUUGCAUCAGGUGGUUCUGAGAUUGUGUUUGUGUCUGUUGGAAUUGGACUUUUUGGGCUUGCAACUCUUUUAUGUGCACUCUUUUGGCUAAGAUGCAAGAGACAGAAGAAAAUGGCAGAUGAAGCUGUUUAUCAGAACAUUGGGAUUAAUGCUAAAGACAUGCUCACAGGCCAGACAUCUAAUUACCAGAAACCUGAAACUUCUUAUCCCAGUCCUCCUGACAGCCCCACAUCCUCUGACUACCAGAACAUCACAGUAAGUUUUAGCUUUUAAAACCAAAACCACAAUCAGAUCAGACUAAUAUG